UAUGGUACUGACAGAGACCUUGACUUGGUUUUUAGUAAUCCAAACUAAUGCCCUGGGGUGUUGUCUCAGGCCUCUCCUGACAAGGAAAACUUAAUUUAAGCACCAUGGGUCCUCAUCCUUGUUCAAAACUAAGCUUACAAUGCUGUGCUGUGUGCCGUUACUAUGCAUUAUCCUCUUUUGUGAAAACAGCCCCUACUGGGUGGUCAAUCACUUGCUCCAGUUUUGGCUAUUACACUAGUGUGUCUAUAUGGAAUCAGAUUUGCACGCGUUUUAAGAGAAAUGAGAACGGAACCGGACAUACAUAUGAUGGGUACCAUUCUAGAGAUAAUAGUAUGUCAUACAAGUCUAUUUAUUUUUCUUAGUAUGAAGCUUCCCCAACAAUGGCCGAUAUUUGAUUCAAACACCUUAAGAUUGGUCAUAUUUGCUUGGCCCGCAAAGCUUUUCUAAUUGCCAUAUCCCUGGCGUCAGGUGGAUUUGUUUACAACUUGUCGAUGGUUUAAUUCAAGCUUUCUUAAAUUUUUUGAAUUCCUCUUCUUAAUUUUCCAGUCAAACUGGCUAAACAUAACUGAAAGAACUCCUCAAAAUAUCCUAGUUCUACUUGUUCUUUUCCCUUAAAUAUUAACUAAAAUUUGGUUGUUCCUCACUAUACUAAUUAUUAUUGAUAUUUAUUUAUUUUCAUGUAUAUCAACAUUUUGGUAAGAGGAGAAGAGCUGUACGUUAAUGACACAAAGCCAUGUCCUCACCCUGGUUAUAAUUUACCUGGAAAUUAAAAGAAAAAAAAAAAGAGAAAAAAGGGGGAAAAAACAAAGACACGGGCAAGUAAAAUCUAUGAGGAUGAAUAUGAGUCCCAUCAAAUCUGGGGAAAAGGUUGAGGACUUGUUCCCGUCGAAGAGAGACAAAAGACCAUCUAGUGGCUGAAUAUAAAGUGUUCACUGGAAGUACCCUAGUAUAGGGGAGAGUUGUCAUAGAGAAGCAUCCAUUUCUCACUAGCUCCUUUUGCCUGGAUGAUUCUACUAUCCCCCUUUUUUUUUCCAAAAUAUUUCGCUUAAAUACGAAAAAGGAGUGAGUACAAAAGGUUGUGGGUAUAACUACGAGGGGGCCCUGGCCUUCCAUGGAUGAUGAUGAUAACAAAUAUUAAAGCUACUUUUUGGUGUUUGGGGUUCAGUGUUGUGUUCAUGCUCCACCUCAUGGACCUGGGUUUUAAAUGGCCCCCCGGCCCCCGGCCCCCCCAUCUCUUGUAUGAUUAAUAACAAACAUUAAAGUCACUUUCGGUAUUUCGCUUCCAUGUCGGCUUAGUGCCUACUGCCUCACGGGUUAGGUUUUGCCAGGCUCAACACUGAAGCCUGCCUGCCUGCCUCCCUGCCUGCCUCCUCUCCUUGCCUCAACUGAAAGUAGCUACCCACGCUGCUUGGCUCAAAUUUCAUUUCCCACUCAGCCACUCACACAUUUAAGUUGUUAUUUUCUUUGAAGCUGGAACAUAACCAAUUCUAGCACAAGAUUUCAUAAGCCUCCUUCCAACCCAAUUCAGGAUGUUCGAUGCUCUCUGCCAUUACCCGUCCCGUGACCUUCAUUAGAUGCGUUACUGUAACCGUGAGAUGGCCCCGUUUUCUGGGCAGCAGUUGGAGGAAUAUGUCUACUCAACCCUUCCUCUUCUUGUCCUUGAGUCCAAUAGAUUCAUCCACGGUAUUUCCCAUAGAUGUUUCAUCAGUAUUUCAAAAAAAUAAAUAAAUAAAAUAAAAGAUUUGAAUAUAAUACAAAGAAAGUGAAUUAGAAUCAUGCACACUUCAUUUUGUAAUACCGAUUUAUUAUUUUCUUUUUUAUAAUGCAAUUCUAUCCCGCAUUCAAGCAUUCAUCCUUAAUUGAACUUUUUUUUUGUUAACAAUAUAUUAUUAUAUCACUGUUAAAAUCUAAUUUAAAACGUUAUUAAUUAUUUUAUUAUUUGUCCAAAUCUUAUCACAAAUUUUUAUAUUUUUAAUCAAUUAUUAUUAUUAUUUUAUAAAAAUUGUCAUCAACAUAUAUAUUUAUCUGGAUAUUUCUCUGAAAUUGAACCACACCCAUGUCUAUGAGUCUAUCAUAGCAACUGUGGUGGGCCGAUUCUAUGAAUCAGAAACAUGGGUUGUUCAAGGCCCUUGAGAAUAACUUGAAAGACUUUUAUUUAUGUAUUUAUAUUUUCAUUGAAUCCACCUCAGCAAAUACCUGAUCGGGCCUUCAAAUUUUGAAGCCCAAUUGCUUUUACAGUUUUCAGGAAGCUCGUAUACUUGGAUACGAGUUUUACUUGGAAACAUGUCAAACAUGACGGAUGGUAGCCACUUAAUUAUGGUUCUUAAUUCUUAAACCCUCUCUAUUACAAAUUUCAACCAUACCACUCCAAAGCAGUUUGGACAGACAAGUCAACUUUAAUCCCAAUCAUCCAACUACAAAAUUCAAAGAGGGAAAUGAUCAUUCAAAGUUGGAUAGUUUAAAACUAAGCAAUGAUAUCAGAUUGGAGGUCAAACCCAACCGUUGAAAAUCAGAUCAAAUUAGCCAUAUUUGUCAAACUAAUCAAACAGAGCUUAAUUAAACUGCUCAUAUUGGGCUUCCAAUUCUGGCUCUAAUCUGCCAGCUCUACAGGAAAGUACAAAUUCAUUGAAGUAGAGACCAAUAAAAACAUUCUGACAGAUUGUUAUGGAAUACGAUAGGAUAUAGGUGGGUUGGCCAGGUCCAGAUGUUAAGCUUCUCUAGAUAUGGUAGUUAAGAAAAGAUCACCAUUGGUUGGGUAGUGUUACAAGAUUGCAACUUGCAACUACUAAGCCGGUACAUCAGGUUAGGCCUUUGGAAAAUGAAAACUCUAUCACAACCACCACCCUGGGACUGAGAAUUAAUAAUUACAGCAUUCUCAAAUCCCUAGUCCUUCUUUUUGAGGUUAUAUUUAUAUGCGACUUACACUAAUUAUUUUGAAGGGAAUUUAAUCUUGGCUGUAGUCUGCAUAUUCAUAUAGAGUAGGAUUACAGUUUGCUAAAGUUGAGGUGAUGUAGUAGUGCCAGUGAUACAGGACAGUGGCAGAGUGGGAUCUUGAACCUAUUUAAUGCAAGCCAUUAAAGAAGUUCAGGCAACCCCACUUCUGAUACCAAUUUGUACAUAUGCAUCAUAUAUUGGUGAGGUCAAUGAAUGCGUCUGCUCCAGAGCCUUUGUCCAUGUAUCCAGGACAAGGACCUGACCCAAUCUCAUGUUGAGGAGGCCUUUGAAACCCAACCAUCGGCUUUAGCGCUCCCCCGGCCACCCAGGAAAAUCCAAGCUUCCCUGCAAAAAAGAACUUGGACCACCUUCACCGACCCAACCACCAUCCAUAAAAUUCAAGAUCAAAUUGCAAACUGAAACAGUAAACUAGAUUCAUAAAGCUUGUUACCAGUCCAAUUGUUUUGCAUGGAAAAUGUCCUGUUUCACCAUGCCAUCCAACAGGAAGGCAAAAUCCAAACCGUUUCACUGGUUAAAUUUUGUCAGAGUUCACCUUCGGAAGGAUGCUAGUGAAAUAGGGUCAAGUGGCUACAUAAUAGGCCCCUGACCCUCUGUUGCUUGGGUCAUGGGUGUUACCCAAUUUACUCCAUGUCCGUCCAGUGUCCAUGCAGGGAUUGUCCUACAUCAUCUGAGUCUCCAUUAAAUGGAAGCUCUCUCAGUAAAUCUAGUGAUUUCCGUUUUCACAUUUAUCACAUUCCUGAUCUCAUCUUCCCAGGCUAGACACAUAAGGUCGUUCUACUGCCCAUAGCUUUAGCAUAAAAUAAACAAUAAACAAUAAACAAAUCAUUUCCCUUGGAAGGAAAGGAAAAAAGAGAGCACCAGAAUAUAUUUCUCUGGUUCUACUGGUACCAAUGAUUUGGAAACACAUAGAUCAUGGUUGAACCUUCACAGAUUUGGAAAUUGUUAAAUUAUUGUACCAAUGAUUUAACCAAUGCCUCGGAAGAUUUUACAUGACAUCUUCUGACUAGCUAUAAGAUCCCUAGUAUCAUGGAACACAUCAAAUGCAAAUUAUGCAAUAGCAAUAAUGCCUCAUAUCUGUUUCCUUAAUCCCCAGUUAUGGAGAGAAGACGGAAAGAUGAGGAUCGCGUCCAAACCUACAACCAAUAAAGAAAAUUUUCAACCACAAAUCAGUGUAAAUGACAACCAAACCAUCACUUUAUGCCACAGCAUGUAAUUGGAGCUCCCACAAUUGAAUUGGAACAAAGAUAGAUCAACGGGGAAAUCUCCAAACCCCCAAGCAUAUGAUUUACUGUAAAGGUUGAUGGGAUCCGAUCUCCCACGUAAUAAUCAAAGGGUCUUCGAGCCCACCGGAUUCGGUUCCUUCGAUUCAAUUACAGCGGUAUCUUGCUUUAAGAUGCAUUUUUGAAUCAGGGGUUGUUUAUCCCAACUCACCAACAACUUGGGUUCACUCAAUUCUCUGAAUGCAUGAGCCCUUUUGUCAAGUUCAAAGGCAAAUUGAUGGCAAUGUAGCAAGCGCUUGGAUUGUACGACCCCCAUGGACCUUGAUUUCACAAGCCUCAUAACAGGCAUCUUCACAACCAAUCCAGGCUUCUUCUUUGGAUCCCAACCCAUUUUAAUCUCGCUGCCCGAACCAAUUGAUUUGGAUCUAAUCACACCAUCACUCAACGAACCAACCGCUUCAUUCCCCUCCUCUGCACCCGGAACACUGGAUACCUUCCUGUUCCUUCUGCUUCCAAGUUUCUUCGUCUUCACCAUCUCUCCGCUCCCAUCCAACACCUCCAGUGUCAUCUGCCGGGACCUCGACGGCCUCUGCACUCGCCUCCUUACAUUACCCCAGAUCGGCGGCGACUGAACCAUCUUUCUCACGUUUCUGAGGCAGUCCACCACCUCAGUCGCCGCAGGCCUCUUCUCCGCCGUUGAUCUGACACAUCGAGCGGCCAACACCGCCAGCUGCCGGAUCACGCGAGGAUCCUCCGGCUCUCCGAUGCGGGGAUCACAGAUUGCGGAGAAGUUGGUGUGCUUGAUCAAGGGCACGGCCCAGUCCACCACCGAGGGUGGACUGUAGUUGACGUCGAUGGCGUUGCGGCCGCUGAUCAUCUCCAGCAACAAGAUCCCAAAGCUGAAGACGUCGCUCUUGGUACUCAAAUCCCCCGGCGCAAGAUAGCCCGGGUCCAGGUAUCCUAACGUCCCCGCGGGUGGCGUACACCUCACCCUCACAUCCUCCACGUGUCCCCUCAAAGCCAGCCCAAAGUCUCCAAGCCUUGCAUUCCAUUUCCCAUCCAGCAAAACGUUGGAAGACUUUAUGUCUCUGUGAAUCACCGGCGGAUUCGACGAGUGCAGCGACUCCACCGCCUUCGCGAUCUGCGAGGCCCACCUGACUCGCCGCCUCCAACUGGGUGGUCUAGGACUCGAAUGAAGAAUAUCAUACAAAGACCCAUUGGGCAUGAACUCAACCACAAUCAAUUUCUUCUCGUUCCUGUCCACACUGAAGCCUAAUAGAUUCACCAGUCUAGGAUUUCGAACUCUCGACAGUAUCUCGAUCUCGUUAUCAGCCGGACUGGUGGAAUUGGAGCAGGUGGAGCAGUUGGUGCAGCUGGCACACUUGUUAUUGUGUUGCUGAGGGCCUAUGGCUCUCUUGACGGCGGCGAUGAGCUUACCGUGGUGGAGAAGGGCUCUGUAAACGCUGCCAUAGCUGCCUUUACCGAGAAAACUCUCAGCGGAGAAGCCAUUGGUGGCGGAUUCAAGAUCAGCAUAGGAGAAGUUGGUAAUCUGAAAGGGUUUCCGUUUGUUGUCCCAGAUGUAGGGGUCGCAUGUAGCUAUUGCGGACUCUGCAUUGCAAGAGAGGUAGCCCAUAUGUUAGGAGACGAAGAGAGUGCAGAGAGUGUCUUGUGCGUUUAAUAGUGGAGAGAGAAAAAGAGAGGAGGAGGAAGAGGUGAUGGUGGUGGGAAAGGAGAGCGGCAAAAGCCAUUACUGCAGGAAGGGAGUGGGUGGCUUUGGUGCCUAAAGUCGCAUCCGCAUACUGUUUUACAGCUUUAGAAAUGGAAAGAGAGAGGGGGAGAGUUUGAAAUUCAAAGUAUUUUAUUGUUUUUAAGAUAAACAUGCAGAGGCGUGCGGCGUGUGCGGCUUCGGGGGCGACUGUUUUUCUGGGCGCUGGUCUUAAACUCUUAAAUUAAUUAGGGGGCCCCCUCAUGUUAGAUCUCAUUCUUGUUAUUACCACCACUUCUCAAUUCUUUCUUAUCCUCAUCCCAUUAUUUGGGUUCAUACAAAUUAAGAAAAUGUGUUUUGCGUUUGAUUUUAAUUUAUAGUAUUUUUAAUAUUUAAAAGAUAAAAUUUUUUAAUUAUUUUUAAAAAAUUAAAACUUCGAUAAAAGCGGAGCAGUCCUACCCCAUUCCUUCGUCAAUACACGUGGAAUUUUAACGCUGACUUGCAGGGGUGGCUGGGUGACAAGGACGUAAAAAAGAUUAAUUCGAUGGCAUGUUAACCAUAAAUGAAGGAAGCGUCUCAUGUCUAUGUUCUGAGGCGUGAACCAGUCAGUUGCUGUCCACUGACAUGGACUCUUACCUACCAAUAGCAUGUGUGGGAGUUGGGGAGUUUGGUGGGUGUGUGCAACAUGGGAUCACUGCUCAACCAAACAAAGACAAAGAAGAAAAACCAGAAUCUGGUUGGCUUUGACGCCACUCAACACCUUCUCUUGUUACUUUAUGCGUUGAGCUUUUGGUUUUUGACUCCCAGAAGCCCACUAGAUCUGCGACAACAGUAACUUGGACUUUUGGCAAUCCCCCAGGAGGCAGGAGGCAGGAGCCCGGUGGAAUUGGUCCGUGCCUGUGGAGGUGGUGGAGGCACCAUGAUCCUGACAGAAUUGGUUUUGAAUUUCCUACUCCAAGACCCCAGUCUGGCAUAUUUGUAAGUGCGCUCUCUGGGUGGAGGCCCUGUGGCUGUGGUUUCAAUAAAUGUGUUAGUCAAUUCAACAAGUGUAUCCGGACUUUUCUAUCAUGAUAUUGAAACUUUUGUUAUUUCAUAUUUGAUUAUACCCGUACAAAUUAAGUGGUUAAGCGUCCCUUUCUUACUGUGUCGUCUCUCAUCUCCACUUCUUUUGUUUUACGGUAUUGAAAUUGGAUUAACUUCAAAAGACCUUUUUCAAAUCUUCUGCCCAUAUUUUCUUUGUUGCCUUUUUUUUUUAUUUCAAAUUAGCAUCAGGUGUGGCCCACCCACCCAACCUGAAGGUGUGGGCGGCUGACAUGAAAUGUUACCUCAAAAUAGCUGACUAUUCUAAGUGGAUGCCCACUUUCCCAAAUAAUAAAAAUAAAUAAACAAAAGGCUGAUAUCAGUUUAUAUACACAUAAUUAUAUUAAUUUAAAAUUUUAUUAAAUAACCAUUUUGUACUUUUUAUUUUUUUAAGACUAUUUAAUUCUAAAAAUAUGAAUAUAUAUACAUCUUAAUAACCAAAGAACCUUCCACAAUCAUGGCCAAGUCUUUAAAACGCUUGACGAGGACUACCAUCAUCAAAUAUGCAGAAGUGAGGUGAGUUGUGUUAAGUUUCACCAUGUUCAAAUUGAACAUUAAAAAAAUUUAUUGAAUAAUUAUGUUUUUUUUGCAAGUCAUAUGUUUAGAAGGGUAUUCUUCAUGCUUCAUGCCUCAUGCUCAUGGUUUUCCAUAAGAUUAAGUCAUUGAUGAGAUGAAGAAGUGAAAAGAAAUUACAGAGAGAAUUUCACGCCUUCAUCAUCAGCUGAAGAGAGCAAGCUUUUCCCUUGUGUUCUAGCUGUUCCAGGGCUCGCAUUAGGACUGUACUCUCCAUCCCAUGAAGCUCUGAGAGAGAAAAUUAUUAACAUUACAACAAAUGUGCGGAUAUGUGUAGGGAGCUAACCACCACCCUAAAGUGGAGUUUAGCAAGCUCCCGACAUUUAUGUCCUAAAUGUACACUCCCAUGCUAGAUUUGCACUGUUGGUGUCAACUCCAGAAACUCGCAUUUCAUUUUUGAAGAAAUUAAAAUAAAGCUCAAGUAAAAGCACUGCUAUUCAUUCAAGAAGUUAUUAAUUCCAAGUUCAGUCGACUAUUGAUGUGCUCAACAUAAUGGAUAUGACAAGGUAUUGAAUCCAUCAGAGGACUUGGCAAAACAAGGAUUUUUAUUUAUUAAAAAGAAUAACUGAAUGGUGUAACAAUAAGUUUCACAUUUAUGGAGAUAAGCAUAUUCAUGAAAAACUAUUUCUUGGAAGUGGACUUAACGGAUCGUGAACUCUCUUACUCUACUGUUUCUAAAGAGGAUUUAGAGAUUUAGCAGGCAAAAGGAUAAAGGGGAUCUUUGACCCUGCAACAUGGUGAGAUUGAGCCUCAAGGUAUGAGAUGUAAGCUUUCUUAAUUUUCAACUUUUAAGUUUACAAAUAAUCAGAUGCCUGCACAUGGAGAAAAUGACAACUAAAUACCAAAAAUUAUAUUUGGUAUAUAACUAACACUGUCAUUUACGAACACAGAGAAAAGUAAUCCAGAACCAUGGGCUAAGGUAGCAGCAAAUUGAGCAAAAAUGAGGCCUUAAUAAAGUAUCUUCUGUGGCAAAUGGAACAACAAAAACAACACCUAUAAUGGAAAAUUAACCAAAUAAAAAAUGAAAAAAAAAAACCUUGAAUUGAAAAAAUAAUCAACAAAAGAAAGGAAACAACUGCUAUUUUAUUUGAAUCCUAAAAAAAGAAGGAAAGCAUGAAACAAGCAGAUUUACCACUUUCAGAAAGAGAUGCUAUAAUAAUAACCAUUUUGGGCGCUACAAUGAGCUUCCCCACUGUUUUAGGGGGUAUUGCAUAAAUCCAGAGGCAUACUCCAUUGUCCAACAAGGGACCCUACAAGGGCCCCUUGCAAAAUUCCAUGAAAACCAAAACAUAUUCGAUCACUGGUCCAUGGUGGCUAAUUUAAUAUAUUUUUCUAUUGAAUUUACAUAACUAGGAGCAACUAACGGACAAGAGAUAUGAUGAAAUGAUUUUCAUAAAUAGCUUGCCCACAAAUGGUUGACAAAAAAAUAGAGCUGAUAGCAAGAGGUAUAAGAUGUUUUUGAAAGAGAGAAUGGUUGGAACUCUCUUCUGAAAAAAGUAAGAAAAAACAACCAUUUUUAUCUCUUCUGCUAGAAACUUGGGCACAUGAAAACAAUGUCACUUUUUCCCCCUUUUUUCCCGUUCUUCUCUGUUGCUUGACUAACCACAUCUCCCAUGUAAAUAAAAGUCUAGUAAUAAGUUUUUGGGAAAAAAGGAAACCCCAUUCAUUUUUGAAGAGUGUAACAAGAUGGAUUGAGAAACAAGGAAAAGCAUAAAGCGUGCAGCUUUUUCCUUAAAGUUCCAAAUCAACUAGGGUAAAAAGGAGUAGAGAACGAGAAAUGUUGUCCCAGAGAGACCUUGAUCCUAGGAACCAUUUUAAUCUUAUGUAACUGAAAAGAGAAAUGAUUAACACACAGCUCCAAACACAAAACACUAGUUCGGAAGACUGGAACUCAGUUGAAAAUUUCUUGAAUAGUCCAAAAUGAAGCAGAUUAUCUACUCUCUGUUUUCUCUUCUUUUUGUUGCACCCACCCCACCCUGAUCCAGCACCCACCAAAAAAAAAUUAAACAAACACACACACACACACAAGAAAAACCAUCUACCAUAAUACUUGAAUGGAAGAGCUUACACAAUCACAAAAGCAAUGAAGAUUUCUGGGAUUAUUUCCACAAUCUACUUUUACCAGGCUUCAAAUGCAAUAAAAAUUACCUGUUCCUUGAGAUUCAGUUCCUGACCGCAUUUCCUGUCAUAACACUGUCCUCCGACCCAUAAUCUCUCACCUAAUCAAUAUAAGCAAGAAAAUCAUAAAUUCAACACAAACUACCUAUGUUUAAGAACCAUUUUAGUUUGUAGCAGUCACAUUUUCUUAACUUACAAAGUGCAAAAUGAUGUCAGCCCAAUCUUGAAUCUGAUGCCAGAGAAUAAGACAUUUUUUAUGUCCUUUAUCCAUCCAUUCAGCACGUCCUGUAAGAUUAAAGCAGCAUCUAAGAGACUAACAUUCAAGUUUAUGCAUGUAAGAGCACAGUUAUUUUCACCAACCAGAAAGGAAUGAUGUAACACUUGGAAAAACCAAAACACACCUUCUAAAACUAAGGCUGAGAGGAAUGCCUCCCUAGCUUCAUGACUGAGAGUUCCUAUACCAUCAGAACCAAAAUUUAACGUAUCUGUGGACAGGAACUUGCAAAACAACUGAAUUCAAAAUAUCAACUUAGAGAUGCAGCUUAUUAAACAGAUAUGGUGGACAACAAUAACAAUAGUCAUUACUACCUUUAUACAUACUCAUUGAGAAAGUACUGCAUAAUUCAGAGUUUAUGUGCAAAAGCUCAGCCACAAAUUUAUUGCUUCUAUGAUGGUUAUGCAUAGCAGAGUUUUGGCUUGAGAACCUUCCAGGUUUGUAAUAUAAAUAUAAAGAAUUCCAGUCCCUUGAAUGAUUGCAUGGCCAAAAUAAAGGAAAACUAUUUGCACAGUACACCUGGUUAAGAAUGCAGAAAUUUGCUAAAGACAAAUUACAUGUGGUUAACUCUUUUAACCUCACAGCUUUCAUACUAGAAUUAGAACUUUGAAGUCUUUUAUAACCAAAUGAAUUUGUCCAGCUUUCUGCAUUGCAUGGAUUCAGGAGCGGGUAUUGUCUAGGUAUCUAAUCCUUCCCAUUUCCAAAUAUAGGGAUGGGGACUCGACUAAAACGGAUACUAAAAACAGGUGCAGACAUUUGGACACAUAAUAAUAAAAGCACAAAAAAAUCAAUUAGAAAUCAAUAAAAAGUAAAGGUACUCUUGAUAGAAAUUUCUUUUAUUUUCUCUUGUAUCCCUAUCUUUUUUCUUAUGCCUAAAUAUUCUUAUAAAGGUUCUCUUCCAGAAAACUUUCCCUCCCUUCAAUGUAAUUAUAUGGUCAUGAAGUUAAAAGUACAGAAGAAAAAAAAAGAAGAAAUUAACUAAAGUCAAACAGCCAAACCUAAAGCAAAAUAUGAGUAUUUGGAAUAGAUCUCAUACCCACACUCAUGUUGGUCAUAUUGACAUUGGUACAUUGGGUGAAGUUAGAGAAUCUGGGUAUCAUAGCUAUCCUUUAAAUCCAAUGGAUUUUAAUUCUCAUUCUCUGAUUAACAAAUAUGAUACGUACAAAAUAUUAAUUCUUGAACUUAAUUGAUUCUUUUUCUCAAACUCUUCUAAGUUCAGAUAAAAACAAAGACGGAAAUCAAACAUGUUAUUCAAUGAUUGAUAGAAUCUCUAGAAGAUUGAAUGGGUGGAAAAAAACUUUUUUUGUCCCUGAGGAUAGAAUAACUCUAAUUCAGUCUUGUUUGUCUUACAACUCAAAUUAUUUCUUAUCCCUUUCCAAGAUUCCAACAUCAAUAGCAUCAAGGAUUGAAAAAUUGCAAGAGAUUUUUUAUAGUUAGGGUUUGGUGAAGGUAAAAAAGAUCACCUUAUCGGUUGAGAUCUAGUGUGUAGGCCAAAGGAGUUAGUGGUUUAGGAUUUGGGAAGACUUCUCUGAGGAAUAGCGCUCUGUUAGGGAAGUGGCUUUGGAGGUUUCUUGAUGAAAGGUACGUUAUUUGGCAUCAGGUUAUUUUAAGUAUCAUGGGGCACAUCCUAAUGAGUGAGACAUAAAAAAUAUAGUCGGACAGUCACAUCAAUACCCUUGGAAGGCUAUUGCACAUAUUCUCCAAUUUUUUUCUGCACAUACUCACUUUAUGGUGAGUGAUGGGACCAUAAGUCAUUUUUGGGAAGUUUGUGAAGGGGGGAUCAACCUUUGUAUUCACAGUUUUCAAGACUUUACAGAGUCAGCACAAAUAGAAACCUUUUCAGCUAUCAUUGGUAAUGUUUCUGCCUCUUUUUCUUAGAUCUCAUUUUUUGCCACAACCUAUAAUUUGGAAAUUGAGGAUCUCAAAAGACUAAUGACAUCUCUUAUCCGCAUACACUUGUCUCCAUCCCUCCUAGAUGUGAGAGCAUGGACACUAUCCUCUUUAGGCUUAUUGUCAGUAAAUCUUUCUUCUUCGCUUUGUUUAAUAUAUCAUAUUCAGUUUCUUUCCAUCCAACCAAAUUUUUAUAGUAAUCAAAAGCUAAGAUUAAGACCUUUGCUUGGUUAGUGGCACACGAGAAGAUAAAUACCAAUGACAUGCCAUAGUUGAAAAAACCCUCCAAAGUCCUUAGUCCUAAUUGGUGCAUCCUAUGUAAGGGGAGUAGAGAGACGAUUGACCAUCUCUUUCCACAUUGCCCGAUUACUUUGGGGUUAUAGAACAAACUAUUCAAUCAGGUUGAGAUGGUGUGGUUUUAAUCUAAGAGUUUAUAUGACAUGAUGAUUAUUUCUUAUAUAGGUUUAGGGAACUCUAUAAGAGGUAAGGCCCUUUAGAAGAUUGUUUGUCUCACUUUGAUUUGGAUUGUGUGGCAAGAGAGAAAUGCUAGGAUCUUUGAGGAUAAAUAGAGGACUCAGAGAUGUUGUGGGAUUUAUUUCAUUUCUUUACUUCUUUUUAGGCCUCUUGUAAUGACAAUUUUAAAGGCAUUCAUUUGAAUGCCAUUAAGCUUAGUUAGCAUUUGGUAUAUACACCAUUUGGGUUGGGCUAACAAUGAGAGGAGCUUAGCCAGGCUUGAGGAGAUGAAAUCCUUGUACGUUCUAUUGUGAUCUAUCUUUUUGUAUAAAUCUCCUUGUAUAGCGGAGGUUUCUUUGUGUUUUGACCAGGUUUGUGUAUUUGUGGAGAGAAUUCCUGAUCCUUCACAUUAACUCUUUAUACAUAAUUAAUACAUCUCCUGUUUUUUAUCAAAGAAAAUAAAAAAAAUCUUCUAAUAACCAAGUAAAAUCUUCAAGGUUUUACUAUGCCAAAAGAUUAAAACAAAACAACUAAAAAAUAAAAAGAAUGCCUUUGUUACCAAUGAGCACUUAAGAUAGUGCACCCUACCCUUCACCAAAUACUAAUACUCUUAGCCAAUGGUAUCUCUUUAUUUUUGUAAUCUCUACCAUACUGUGCACUGUUUUAGUGUUCUUAAGUAGCUAGCUUUGCCAACCAGACCAUACUGUUGAGAAGUUAAUCUAAAGCCACUAAUGUCAUCUAGCCAGCACUACCAUUGUGGACAUAUCACAGUUGGAACCCUAACUUCUGAGUUAUGACAUGCAGAAGAAAUUGCAAAAAGGGCCCAAACUUGAGAAGCAUGAUGCAGUCAAUUGUUGGCUACAAGUGUCAACAAAACUACAUUGUCAUGUUAUAUGAUUACAGAUAUGCAUAAAGUUCCUCUGUUUAGAUAAUGUGUGAAAAGGUCAAGAUAAUGAGAUGUGAAUUAUGUCACUUUGCAUAAAAUAGGAAAAAACCCUCAUCAGUUUGAGAUAAUGGGACAUAGAUCCUGUGAAUUCACUUUGCAUCACAUGAAAGAAAAUCCUCAUCACUCUCCAUCACAAAAUUAGAAAAGGGCACCCUGAAUUGUACAUUAGAACAGCAACACAAGUAUGGCAAAUGGUUGUAGAGGAUUGUCAGCUUCAUUGAAGAUUGGAAAAGGUUGAUCACUGGAUUUGAGAACUCAGUAAAACCUAAUGAGAAGGCAGCACUUACUUUCAAUAACAGGAUUCAAGAACAGAGAAAAUUCUUCUUCCAGUCCUAUCACAAAUAUCUUUUAAGUUUGACAGUAAUCAAGAAUAAGUUCCUUCCAAAGUUGUACCUGCUUCUCUUGGGUGUCUCUUACUGGCUGCAAAAUGAAGAAAAGACAAUGAGAAUAUGUGACUAAGUGAAUCACAAGUUCCAACUAAGAAUGAAAUCAUGGAAGGGAGUAUAAAAUAAAUAAAUAAUAUAUAUGAAGGAGUCAUAAUGGAAAAGGAAAUAUCAAGUAAAGGUUCAAAAGUAGGAGAAUAAAAAGAUCCUGCAUCCAUGAUGAAAAAGGUCUUUGCACCCCAAAGAAAAGGGAAAACGAAAGAAAAGGCAUUGGCGGUUGGCACUAUUACAUCUUUGUGUCAAUGUCACAUGGAGAUCACCAAGCAUUGGAUAUUCUAUAGAGUUCCCUAUGUCCUAUGUCCUAUCCCAAUAUUUGCAGGUGUAUAGAUAGAUGGAAAAUUUGAUGUAAAGAAAAACUGAAAUUGUUGCUAUAAUAUGGAAUCAGAUCUAGAGUUUAUAAUUUUUUCACAUGUAUUCCAAUCAUUUGUUUGAAAUAUGAUUAAAUAGAAGAAAAUUCGAUUAUAGAACAUAAUCCUAUGGAUUUGAUAGAGCCCCCACAUGUCACAACCUUUCCCUUGGGUUUUAUCCAAUGUCCUGUGUUGUCUUGAAACUUAGAUAUUGCCUAGAUAAGUAGCAAACUUUGAAUUGGUGACUGAUGGCUUCAUGAGCCAGGCCAAGCCAAAUCAUGCUCACAAGGAGAGGACCUGGAAAGGCUUAUGCAAUCAACUUAAGGAACACAAAAAUCAAGAUGAAUUAAAAGAGCCCCUUCACCCCACAACGCACCACAGAGAACACAUGACAAGAAAAACUUAGGUGAAUUAAAAGAGCCCCUUCACCCCAUAAUGCACCACAGAGAACAUGUGGUAGGAAAAAAUUAGAUGCCUCCAAAUAAUCAUUCCUAUUGAACAUCUAUAAAGAGAAGUGAAUUGGAACUAGUUAAGGUCAAAACAACUUAAUGAGCACUAUAAGUAACUGCAAUAGAUACUGAACUUCUAAUAAUGGGCGGAAUUUUUUUUAUAUAGGUACUUUUUUUUGUCCCCAUUGGGACUUGUACCUGGAACCUCUCAUAAACCCAGCCCAACUUUACAACUUGAGCCAGGUCUCGAGGGGGUAAUAAUCUGCUGAAUUAAAAAAGCAACAAUUCAACAUAUAACAGAGAAAAGAGAUUAAGGCAAAGAGUGCAGGAGGUUACGUGAAGUAUGGCGGAUAAUUGAAGAAGUUGGGAAGCUUGAAAUCACCCAAUUUCUGCAUCACUCCAGUACUUCCUCUAGAUAAUGAAACCUAAAAUCUCAUUGCUUUAAGUGGGGCAAAAAGAACAAAAAGAUUUAGCAACAUUAUUGUCAUUAUCAUCAUCAUGAUCAUCAUUAUCAUAAUAGUAAUAAUAAUAAGGUCCUAUUUGGAUUGGCAUCAAACUAAUAGCAAGAAGCCAUGCAUAAAAGAAGUUUUAUGGGCAUUCCUAAAAUGUUGAUAAUAGCAUAAUAAGAACAUGAAAGAAGUAGUGAUGCGAAUUUUGUCAAAAUUAACAGUAUUUCAAAAUGCGCAAAUCAGCUAAACAAGUUAUAUACCUGGCUAGUAGACUAAUCUUCUUUUGCCCCUAAGGUAAGUAACUUGACAGCAGCCAAAAUUUCAAGCCAGUGUUGAUUAGCAUGUAAUCCUACAAUGUGUAAUUCUCCAUAAAGUAACUAAAAAUGUGAAUCUGAUUAAUCUUUAUGGUGAUUUCCAAGUGCUUAUAGCAAGCUAAAUGAGUUGUAUAUCUGGAAGCAUUGUUGUCAAAUAGAUCAUCCUUCUUUGGCUCCUAGAAAGUAAAUUACUAAGCUCCAGUCAAAAGUUCAAGCCAAGGUCAAAGAAUAUAUGAUCCAAUAUAUAUAUAUAUUCAAUAGGUAAAAAAUAUAACGAAAACAUUCUCUGUCAUUUCACAAAGAUGGUGAUCUCACUAUUGUUAAAUCCUGAUCAAAACCUAAAAUCCAGGUAUUUGAACCAUACUCCACAGCACUCAGUUCAAAUCAAAAGUCUGAAUCCCAACUUGUCCAAAUUUCAAUUCUGACUAAUGAAUUUCAUCAAAAUCCUACAAGUUUUAUACAAUAAAAGAUAGCAAUCAACAUGUAACUUACAUUGAAAUUCACCAAAAAGCAUAGUACUCCAAUUAAAUGCAAACUUAUGUUAGUACCUGUUCUCUCUUUUGCUCUUUGUGCUACUUCUUUUGGUAGUUCUACUACCUUGGACUAGUAGACAUCAAGUUGUAGAGGCCAAAGCAUCCAGAAGAAUUAAUAGACAUAACUACUUCCAAGCAAAUGGGAGACUAAUUAAAUAUACCUUACAUGCAUAACCUCUGAAUUAUACUGAAUACCUUACAUGCAUAAUUACAUGCAUAACCACAAAUGCAUUCUGCCUCACUUCCCCAACCCACACCCCCACAUUGUUCAACCAUAAGAGUAAUACUACCACACUUCAGCAGUCAACACAUAAACUCCUCUUACAGAUCAGCUUAGCUGCCAUCAUGCAAUUUUAUUUUUGUUCCAAACAAGUCAACACCCUUGCAGAUCCUAAAGGGGAAACAACUGGAGACAAAAAUCAAGUAAAUACAUGUCAAACUAUUGUUUGGGUAUCAUCCCAGGACACCUCUCACAAUUGACCUCGAUUCUUAAGCUAACUAUAAAAGGCUAGAACUAUUCAAGAACCAGUUUUGAUCAAUACCCUUAUCUUCCACCAGCAAUACUGCAGAAUCUCAAGGUUCAAGCCUAUUCCAAGGUAUCCAAUUCAAGAAUCACCAUAUCUCUUAUAUGAAAGCUUGUGUAUGGAAGACCCACUUUAGAAGGCAAAUAGACUUUUAACUCCCCCAUUUUGUUACAAAAAUAAAUAAAAUAAAAUAAAAAUCAAGGGAGUGUGUUAAAAUUGGAAACAAAUCAGGCCUACUAUUGUAAGUUCAAAGGUGACUAUGUAUUCAAAGCUUUCAAGAAUAGUUGACACCAUAUGGAUAGUCAAUGAAAUGCCUCAUAAAGACCUAAAAUAGUAAUCAAGAUUACUGGAAAGACACACACCAAACUGCAACAACCAUAUAGAAGAAUCAUCUAAAUGGAGUUUUGGUCGAUACCAUAAUAGGAAAAAGGUAAUAGUAUGAAGAAACUGAAGCAAUUGACACCCAAGAGAAAAAAGAAAGAGAGAGCUUUUCCUACACGGAUUCAUCUAGCCAAAAAGUUUAUGGAAAGAGUCAAACUUUUGAUGGUGAAUCGAGAAGAACUUUAAAGCAAAUAUUACACAGGCAAUAUGCUCACUCUCUAAACAACAAACCCUCGAGUUGCUAAAUAGAAGAAAAUGGUGAUGAAUUAAACUUUCCUCUAGUCAUAUUCUUUCUCCCCUCCUCUUAUUCCUCCCUUUUUAAAUUUUACCUAUUUCCCCCCUAAAAUUCAUAUUCUCCCCUCAAAAAAAAGAAAAAAAAAAUCCAUAAUAAUUUUUAAUUUAAAAAAAAAAACCACCAAUAGCUUUCUUAAAAAUUAAACAAAAAUAAAUAAAUAAAUAAAACCUUUCUAAAAAAAUACACAUAAAAAAUAAAAUAUCAUAAAAAUUUAAAAGUUAAGUGUCUAUUUAGAUGCACUUCUUAUUUUUUUUGUUUUCAAAAGUAGAAUGUAGUAAUAAAUCCUAUAUAAAAUCACAAGUUCUAGCGCAAAAAGUAUAGUUUUAUGUUAUAUCUUUAAAAAUCACUUCAAAAUUUUUAAAAUUCGAGGUAGUAAAAUUUUUUUGAUACCUCAAAUUUUUUAAAUAAUUUUUUAAAACCAUUACUUUUCCAAUAUAAACACCUAAAAGUUCUUAUAUCCUAUAUAAGAGUUAUUACUAUUUUUCUAUUUUAAAAAUAGAAAACAUGAAGUGUAUCCAAAUGGACACUAAAAAUAAUGAUUAAGAAAAACUCUAAACUCCAAUGAAGGGGGAAAAAAGCAAACAGUAAAAGAAUCCUCGUAAACUAAAACUAAGAAAAUAAACUAAAAAUCAAAUAUUUUUCUUCGUCAUUUUCUUUUACCACCUAUGAAUUGUGAGGACUUCAAUCCAAUAAUGCAAUAUUUAUUGAUUAAUUUUGUUACUUUUAGUAAUUCUACAUGUAAUAGAUACAACUUCCACAAAUCUUAAUCCCUUAAUUUGGAUUUGUUAUUUAGCCUAUGUAGAAUAUCAAAUAUUUGGCUAUUGAUGCAAAAAUGUAACAGUGCCAACUUUUUAUUUUUAUUUUUUUCAUUAGAAGGCCUUUUUAUCAUAGAUGCAAGAUUCAAUAUUUUCGGAACCAGACCAAUCAUUGAAACUAAAAAAAUUAUUGGAACAUGAUUCAUUGGCUAAACCGAUGGUUCAAUCAUAGUCGAACCAUGAUGUGAAGAUAACAUUAUAAAACAUAUAAAUGCUUGAUAUCAUUAAAUUGAAUCACGAUAAUGAUAAAUAAAAAUGUAUUCAUAUUUUUAAUUUAAUUAAAUAAAACAUAUAUAAUAUUUAAGUGUGAAAAUAUAUUCAAAAUGGAAAGAAAAAUCUAUUAUUUAAUUUUAUCUACAUGCCAAAAUUUAUAUAUCCUAUUAUUUUAAAAUUAAAAAAUUAUUAUGUUGUUUAACUUAUAUUAUUUUCAUACUUAUCAUUAUAACUAGUCUAGUUUUGAAAACAUUACUUUCAAGGAGCAACUAGUUUUUCAGCAUUUAUCUCUGUGUCAAUUAUAGAAAGAAUCUUCUUAAUAUCCUCUCAAUGUGUAUCCCAUGAUUUCAAAUGCUUAUCCCUCAAUUCCCUUCAAAGAAAAGCCAAAAAGAUCAAUCAAAUCCACAAAGAAAAUAACAGCCAAUUUUAAGUGGCUUACCCUAUAGAUGAGUCAGCCUUUCAAAGCAACAACUUCAUGAUAUGAAACCUUAAUUUAAUUGUUGAACAUAAAGAAAGAGCUAAUUAGCUUAACUAUAAUAACUUUGUCCAAUCGAAAUUAGUAAGAAUAAGAGGACAAAUUAUGUUCAAGUGGUGACUAUGUGCUGAAACUGUAUAAAUUGUAGUAAAAAAAAAGUAGAAUUUGGGAUUCAAUAUUCUCCAAAUCACAUUAUGGGAGAUAUUACGCAUUUUUUGGGUUCACUGCUUUUUCCUAAAGUUGUGAGGUCUCUGUGCUUUUGUAUCAUUUUCUUCCAAAAUUGAACAAGAGAACAUCAAUAGGAUUCUAAUGUUUUGCCUUCAAAAAUUCAUUAAAGAACUACACUCAUGGGGAACAUAACAUUUUCCAAGAUGUUAUUUGUUUUCAAAAAGGUUCAUGCAGCCAACCCAACAACUAAUCAAAUGUUUUGAUAAGUUGAGAUAUAAUUUUUUUUUUCUCCUUGUUUAGUGGACAAGUAAAUUGAGGCUUUCCUGAAUUGAGUUCUUUUUUUAUGGAAUGAGGAGAAGAGAAGGGAAGAAUUUUUUUAUGCCUAUGUUACUGUUUUGGUUUCAGGAAAAUGCAAGCAUCACCUUAUUUGAGCCAAAUAGUCAAUUCGUGCACCAGACUGGCUUCUUUAUUUUUCUCAGGUUCCAGACAAUGGAAAAUUUACUCCUCAAGAUUUUAAUUUCAUCGUUCUUUUGAUCCUACCUUUUCUCAGCAUCCACAUGAAGCAUUACAAUGUGGGGAAAAUGCCAUGAAUUAGCUUAAAGGAAGAUUCCUUUCCAUUAGAAAUUCAUAACCAUAAGGGAAGGUAAUCACUAACCAAUGAAAACUCCAUUAAAUCCAAAGAUCAAGCAUAGGAAGUAUUAAGAAUUACCUUGUCAAAAGGACUACUCUUAAUGAAGAAAUCGCAUAAUCAUAAACCCAUCACAAUAACAUUUUUUUUAGAGAUUAAAAAUAAAUAAAUACAAAUUUUGCAUAAAACCCAUCAACAAAAUCACAUUAUUUUUAGUGAUUAAAACCCAAAUGACAUAAUUUCUAAAUAUCUCACAAUGCCAAAAAAGGGUCUUUACCAAUAAAUGAGAUCCCCCAGAAAGGGAUGUGAUCCCCCGCAUAUGAAUUUUUUUUUUACCUAUUCUCAAAGAUCAUUCACAGAACCAAUCAACAAACUUCAACAGUAAAUGAGAUUCACCCAAAAGGGGAUUGAGCAUCAUUCCAACUUUUCUUCCAUUUGUAAUAGAUAAAAUAUACAAAUUGAAAGAUGCCCUCAAAUAAACAACUAAGCGAAACUACAAACACUGACACUACAAAUAAUUAUAAAUCAAAUAAAUUAUAUUAUUUCUUCAAAAUGGAAUCGUUGCCCGUGAAAAUCGUGCAAAACUGAGAAAUAUGAGAAGGGGCCGAAGAAAAUACCCGAUGGAGUCAUGCAGUCAGGUCUUGUGUUUGUCAUGGGGGGACGACGGCGUGGAGAAUGAUGGAAACGGCGGCGGCGGCUCCUAGCGUACAGAAUGGCGAGAGAGGAACGACGACGGCGUCAAGAAGGAGAAAGAAUAACGCCGGUGUCUGGGUGUUAGUUGUUUCUUUAAAAAAAAAAACACCCAUUGGGGACCGACCAUACCUGUGCGUUAGCGACGUUGCUCAAGAACUUAUUGGGUACAUUGAUUGAUAGAGUUCCUGGUGCCAAUGAUGAAUUCGGCUUAAAUCUAUAGUCACUAAUUUUGAUGUAAUGGUCAUAGUCACUUGUUUACCUAAGAAUAAACUAGUUGAUGUGCAAUUUAAACAUCCAAAUCAAUUUAAGUUCAUAAAGUGUCAAGCUUCUGAUAUAAGGGUGACAGUGACACGUAAAGAAGGGAGAAAACAUAUUAGAAAGGAGGGUGUCUCAAUGGUUGAAGAUACGGACGAGGACGAGGACGAGGACAAAUUACAAUGAAGCUACUAUUGGGGACAAGGAUAACGAGGAUGGUGAGAAUAGUGAGAGCAAGCACUGGAUACUCAUGAAUAAUUAAAUGAUGAUUCCCUUAUUAUUUACGAGGGUCUUGUGGACAUGUUAGCCUUCUGCGGACCUGGGUACGAACACGAUAAGGUUACGAGGGAGACCCCAUGAAAGGCCUUGGGCUUAAACACGGGCCUAUGUGGGACUUUUCUCAAUAUUACGAUAAUUUAAAAAAAUUAUUCUUAAAUUAUUAUAGUGGAAAAAGUUAGGGAGAAUUAUCUUUUGGGGGUAGAUGAACCCUUAAAUUAACAAAAGGUCCAUAUAACUCUUUAAAUUGAGUUGAAGGAUAUGAAAUAGUAACAGACAAAUAUACCUUUUAAGAACAUAUAUAAAAUAUUUUAUAAAAUUAAGUUAAAUAAUUUUUUUAAAAAAAAUAUUAAAUUAAAUUAAAGUAUUUAAAAAAAUAUUAAAUUAUUUAAAAAAAAUAUUAAAUUAAAUAAAUUUAUUUUUAAAAAAUAUUAAAUUAAAUAAAAGUAUUUUUCAAAAAUAUUAAUUUUUUUUCUCAAAAUCAACAAAGGACAUUUUUGGAAAUACUAAAGGAUGAUAUCCUUCAACUCAAUUUCCAUACUUUCAUUGGGUCUUGGGCUCAAUUUGAAGAGUUACAUGAACCUUUUGUUAAUUUGGGGGCCAAUUUACCCCCAAAACAUAAUUCUCCCAAAAAGUUAUUACAAAUAUAUGGUAGUUUUUGCCACCUAAGAGAAAGGGUGAACGGAUAAUUUUUUUUUAAAAUUAAAAUCGUCUUUUCAAAAGAUGAUUUUAUUUUCAUUAAAAAAAAUUAAUAUUUUUUUAACAUUUAUUAUAAAUUAAAAAAAAACCCAAGGGAAAUUAAUAUUUUUUUUUUAAAAAAAAUCUCAAAUUAUAAAUAAAUAAAAAUUCUCAAGGGAACCGUCUCUUAGAAGAGACGAGUUCCCUUGAAAAAAAAUUAAUAUUUUUUUUAAAAAUAAAUCCCAAAUUAUAUAUAAUUUUUUUUUCCUCGAGAGAACUCGUCUCUUGAAGAAACCCCUCUUGGCUGUCGACGUGGCCCGAGAUAGCCGAAAUCGCCAUGGAAAGAACGGACGGGCGGCAGCCCUCCUGGGCAAAAAGGAAGGGGCAGCAGCCACACCUGAGCACCCAGCUGCCACGUGGCGUGCUCAGGCGUGGCCAGACCGGCCCCCACCCUUUUUCUUUUCUUUUGUUUUUUUUUGUUUGAAUUUUGAGGGUGCUCCACGUGGCACCCCCACCAAGCCAUAUUUUGGGCCACAAUUCGGCCCAAUUUCGCGGGCCUUUAUUUAUUGUUUUUUUUAAACCACAAAGGAACUCGUCUCUUAGUUCCAUGAAAAAAAUAAUAUUUUUUCUUUUAAAAAUCCCAAAUUAAAAAAAAAAAAUCCUUAAGGAAACUCGUCUCUUGAAAAGACGAGUUCCCAUGAAAAAAAAAAAUAUUUUUUAUUUAAAAAAAUCUCAAAUUAAAAAAAAAAAAAAAAUCGUUAAGGGAACUCGUCUCUUCAAGAGAUGACGAGUUCCCAUGAAAAAAAAUUAAUAUAUUUUUUUUAAAAAAAAUCCUAAAUUAUAAAAAAUAAAUAAAAAUUUGGGAAAUCGUUUCUUUCAGAGACGAAGAGAUGAUUUCCCAUUAAAAAAUUAAUAUUUAUUUUUAAAAAGUCCCAAAUUAUAUAAAUUUUUUUUUUUGGGAAAUCGUUUCUUCUUGAGGAUUUUUUUUUUAUAUUUAUAAUUUGGGAUUUUUUUUCAUGGGAACUCGUCUCUUCAAGAGACGAGUUCCCUUGAGGAUUUUUUAUUUUUUUUUUAAAUUUGAGAUUUUUUUUAAAAAAAAUAUUAUUUUUUUCAUGGGAACUCGUCUUUUCAAAAGACGAGUUCCUUGAGGUUUUUUUUUUGGGAUUUUUUUUUAUUUAUAAUUUGUAAUAAAUAUUAAAAAAAAUAUUAAUUUUUUUUAAUGGGAAAUCGUCUCUUGAAUAGACGAUUUCUCUUUUGAAUUUUUAUUUAUUUUUUAAAUGGAAAUAAAAUCGUCUUUUGAAAGGACGAUUUUGGUUUAAAAAAAAAAUUUAUCCCUUCGUCCUUUCUCUUAAGUAGCAAAAAUUACAAUAUAUUUGUAAUAACUUUUUUUACUACAAUAAUUUAAGAAUAAUUUUUUUAAAUUACCGUACUAUUGAGAAAAGUCCGCUUAUGUGAAUGAAUAGUACGUGUGAAAAAAAAAAAAAAAACCUUGCCGUUCGUUGGAUCGAUCAAUCCAACUGUCGGUUCCAGUUUUUAAUGUUAAAACUGACAAAAGAAAGUUAUGCUGUUGGGAAUGCCCCAAAUCCAAAAUUCAAAGUUCAUUUGAACGGCGUUUCAUUUUGGAAGAUGUAUUGGUGGGUCCACGAAAGGCUGCGUUUCAUAAUCAGAUGGCGGAAGGGAUUGUUUCCAAAACUUUAGUUUAAAACCGACUGAAAUUCUGUCUGACCUAUCAACCAUGGCACCUGCAGGCCCUAUUUGAAUGCAGUUUUCAAUUAAAUCAAAUGCAAGAUGGUUCGGUCAAUUCAAGUCGUUUUUUUAAAUCCAUAUUAAACAAAUUAAGUGUCUUUUUCGUAACGGCAUUAUCAGCCCUUUUUUUUUUUCUUUAUGGUGGGUUUUUGAAUCUUGUGAUAGCAAGUUCUAAGUUGUGACUUUUUAUUUUAUUUUACCAUUUUUAUAUGUAUAUGGAUUUUGAUUUAAAAUCAGUAUGGAAUGUGGACAUCAAUGGACACCACCGGAGCGUUAGGAGGGAAUUUGUGGUUGAAGACAAUUAUGGGGUAGGAGAAAUUGUUAGUCAUGGUCCAUGGAUGCCCACCUUAUCCUAAAGGCAAACUUGGAAGGAAUCAACUUGUCCAGUGAAGUCCCGAAAUUGGAAGCAUGGUUCACGAUUUUGACUUGGAGUUGAUGCACCACUGGCCACCAUUCUCUACCAUAUGCAUGCCUUGCGCCGAUUAGAUUACUAAUUUUCUUUUCGGCUAUAAUUUUGGGUGUAUAUUUUAUGGAACGCGUGAACUAUGCUUGAGGCAGGACUAAGAGAAAAGCAGUAUUUUGGGAAUGAAAGUCUAUGCAUUUUGACUCAGAUUGCGUAGGACAAAAUUUUGUCAUGGCCAUGGCCAAUUUCUAUCACGGCAGAGAAGAAUGAGAUGAAUAGCUAGAAAUAUUCAAUUUAUACAUAACGAACAUAGAAGAAACUAGUGAUGUAAUUAAUUUGAGCACAUUCUUAAUGGACUCAAUGUCUAAUCGACAUGUCAUUUGGAUGCAAGAUUGAGAUCUUAUGUUUAGUUUUUUUAAAUUUUGAGAAAAAAUUAGGAGGGAUAGCAAAUAAAGAGGAAAACCAAAAGAAAAAAAAAAUGGAUGUAAAGUUAAUAAAUAAUUUUUAUAUAUUAUUUUGAAAUUUUAAAGUUUAUUUUUCCUUUUUAGAUACGAUCGAGUUGGGUUUGAGUGUCAGAGUGGGUUGAUCUCACCCGACCCAAUAAAUAGGAAAAAAAAAAAGAAAUAAGAAAACAAUUUUAUAUGAGUUUUAAAACUAUCCAAAACUACUACUAUUAAAUAAAAAAAGAAAAAAUUUCACUAUAUAAACUCUCUCUCAACAAAAGAAGAAUACAAUUUUUAUUUCUAAAACAAAAAAAGUCAUUUUUUGAAGUUUUUAUGUUUUUCUUCAUGAAAACGAAUAUUAAAGUUUUUUGUAUUGUAAAAGAAGAAUGAUUUUCAUAUUCGUAGUUCUAUACAUGAUUUAUGAUAAAAAAAUAUUGAUAAAUAAAACAAUUAAUUGUAUUCAUAAUUUCAUUUAUGACUUGAGAUAAUAAAAUUAAUCAGUGAAACAAAUUCAUGAAUAUUUCAAAAAAUAACCCAAAAAUCAUAUUUUUCAUCAACAUAGGAAUUAAAUAAUUUGAAAAUUCAUAGAACUCUAUUUAGAAACCGUUUAUGAUAACAAUUUUAUGUUCUUUAUAAAAAAAAAAAAAAAAAAAAAACUAUGUAAGAAACUUUUAACAAAAACUAAUUUUCUUUUUAAAAUAUAUUCUACAUGUAUAUUAUUUUAAAAAAUAAUUGAAAAUAUGGAUAUAUUUUAAAAACUUUUAUAUCACAAGUGAAUGCAUUAUACCUUUAUGAAUAAGAAAAUAGUUUUUUUAUAUGAGUUUUCAAAUAAAAUUUAUUUUAAAAAUUAAUUGAAAGCUAUUUUAAAAAAUAUUCCGUGUAGAAUUCUAAGUUUUUAAUUUCUUUUAUAUUUUUUAUAGUAAUAAAAAAAAAGAAAAAAAAUCACUUAUAUUUUUUUUUUCUCAUUUCCUUAUUAGUUUUCUAAAAUUAAACAUAACAUUAAGGUACAACUUUUUGAAUCAAUUAAAAUUAAUGUAAUAAUAACAUUCUCAAAAUUAGUUUAAUAAUUAUGAUAUGACGUGGAUACAUCACUUAUUUUUAUAUUCUUAAAAGAAAAAAUAUAAUAACCUGUAUAUAAAAAGCAAAAACUUAUUUUAGAAAGACGGUGACUUUUAAAAACAGAAAGUGGGUCCCACUCAGACCAUUCAAGUUGGUGCCACGUCAAAUUUAUAACUUCUAGAAGAGUAAAUUACGUGGAGGAAAGUGACAAUUACACUAUUAGUAUUCUAAUUCUUCAAAGUUACAUUCACUAUUGACUUUACCGUUGUUAAAUGAUGAUGCGUCUCUGGAAAAUUCAAUGAAAAACCUAAAAUGCCCCCAAUACUUAUCUUGCCUCAUCUUACCAAACAUAUAACUAAUCCAAAUUAAGUUAUUUGAAGUGUGAAAAAUAAUUUUUUUUUUUCUGAUAAUUCUAAUUAAAUUUUUAUUAAAUAUACUCAUGAUAAUUUUCUUUGCACUUGAAAUCAUAGCAAAAACAUACUCAUGAUUGAAUAGUCAUAAAUUUGGGUCAAUUCAUUGUAGAAUUUCCUUAACCUAACCUGUUAAUACCUUCUUUUGAGAUAACCUAAUGAAAAUCUUCCCUUUAAGUUCAUAAAUCUAAUCUCUCAUCUUUUCAUUGAUUUGUUCAAACCCGUAAAAAAUAUGUUUAGAUAGCAAACCUCUAUGAACAAAAAUUGUAUCAUUAACAAUUAGAAUUGUUUGAUUUUAUGAUACAAAUUGAAUUGAAAUGAGACCACUUGGAAUCAAUGCAACCAUUCUACGUCGAAUGGUUUGAUAUAAUUUUUUUUUAUUAACAUCCAUUAACUUCAAAGUAAUGCCAAAAAUGAGUUUUUGAGUUUUUUUAACCCACUAGAGAGAUUGUUGAUCACAUUGUUAGUAUAAACCAAUCGGUCUAAACCCUAAACUCUAAACUCAUAGAGAUUCAUUUUGAUUAUGUACUUAAAAUCAUCUUCCACAUUUAUGAUCUCAUAAUUAUCAUUCUUAGUAAUGAAAGUUUUGUCAGUUUUCUUGGCUUCUUUCUUCAAUUUAUUAACAAUAAAAAAGAUAUCUAUCAUGGUCAUAGUUAAAUAUUGUAAAGCAUUGAUUGUGCUUCUAUAUAGAAAAGAGUCUUCAAAUGGCUUUUAUUGAGAAAAAGACAACUUGUUAACAAGAAGACAAGCUACUUGCUCUAGUUAUAUUGGUUUUCUUCAAUGAAUUUGUUGCAAUACACUUAGUUUGAGUUAAAUAGAGACUAGAGCUAUCUUUGGUAGCUUCAAAGCCAUGAAAUAAAUUCAAUGAUUCAAAUGUCUCAAGUGUGAACUUUUUAUUCAAGUCUUCAACCACUUGAUACUUAAGAGGCAUUAGUGCUCGUAAUUAGUAUGUCAUCAAAAGAUUUAAGAACAUGAGCAAUGACAUAGCUAUAAGGAUGUUGUAGCUUGUGAUGCAAAAGUCCAACAUCGUUAUUGACUUUGGUCUCAUGAAUAUAAUGUGUUAAAACAAUAUUGAGACAUUUAUUUGUACAUAAAAGUUGAAACACUUUGAAUUGAUUUGUUAAAGUCCAUGAUACACACUAUGAGCCUAAAUCCUACAAACUUAAUGUUUGUAGAACUUGAGCCCAUAAUAUAUAUCAUGGACUCUAACAAAGUUGAUUUAAUUCAAUAUAUAUAUGACAAAACAACAUUUUAAGGAGCCAAAGGAGACUUGACUUCAAUCAUAAGUAAUAGUUGAUACAACUCACUCCUAGGAGUGCCUUGCAAAAACGCCUUGAGUUCUUGUCCUUCACAUUGCAACAAUUAGAAUAAAACUCAACAACAUCACUAUCAUUAGCAAAUUGAGAAAUACUUAGCAUGUUCUUGGUUAUGGAAGGUACAUGAAUAUUUUUUUAGAUAUAAUGAAUUGGUGUGAAAGCAAAAAUGGAAAACCAAAUUAAAUUUUCAAUAUCUAGAUUUUGUUCUUUGCCUAUAAUGAGUUCCCUUUGAUAGGAGUGUCGAGUUCCACAAUGAUAUAAUUUGUUCUUUAUUGAUGUACCAACUUGAAUCACAAAUUGUUAUAGGGGAGGCUAUGCAGACCCCAUGUUGGCCACCUCCUUCUGAUAGUAAAAUUGUUGAGGUCUAGAGUGAUGUCAAAUUGUGGUGUAGCAUUUUGCUACCACAUAUCCAACCUUGCCAUAGAGCUAGCAAAUUCACUUACCAUUGCCUCUACUACAUUUGUUGUGAUUUUUAUUACAAAACAAAUUAGAGUUUAUAGAUUUUUCAAAAAUCUAGAACUUUGAUUUUUCUUGAUAGUAUAAUUUGUAAGUGUUUGAAAUAUGACUCAAUCAUUAAAUGUUUGUAAGUGUACUUACAUCUGAAAACUGAUUUCUGUAGAGAGAAUUUAACAUUUGGUAUUGAGGAUAAUUAUGGUCAUUAAUUCACUGAAGCAUACCGUGGUUUUCUGUGUCCUAACAAGUGCCCAAAUAAACCUGCAGAAGCGAACAGGUGGUCCAGUACACCACAUUUCAAAUAUUCAAAUGUCUUUAUUUCUCGAGUAUCAAUUGCUUUUAGAUUCUCCUCCAAAAUGGGCCACAUUGGCACAAAAUGAGGGCAUUGCCCAAUGAAAGAGGGCAUGAAAAGUCGAGUCAUCAUUUAACAGCUCAGCUCAUUACUAUCAAGUGUGAUGAUCGGAAGCAUCUCCUUAACAUUUCACUAAUGAUACUCACAUUAGUUUCCACCUGGAACUCCAAAUAUUCUCAUAUCCCCUUUUUACUAGGCAUGAAAACAUUGCUACUGAUUCCAGGAGAUGUUAUUUCCAAAUGGCGAAUACUACCAUUAAAGAAUACAAAACCCCAUCUUUUCAAGGGUGGUUCCAAGGAAUUUCCAGGAAGCUUGGCAUUUCCUUUCAUCAAAUUAUUGCUGAUGCCCAGUUCAUACACGUGGAAAAGAAAAGAAACACUAAAUUUAUGGCUUGUAUAUUUCGAAAAUGAAUAGUUGACAAUGGCCACUGACCCGAUUGGAUGGUAAUUGGUAUGUUGUGACCAUUAGUUGUAGAGUAAAUUCAGUGAUGUGGUGGAGAUUAUUCCAGGUAGCAUAAUUUAAUGCAGAUUUUCAGUAACGUUUUGUUUUGGAGAUGAAGAGUAAAGAUUAAUAAAGCCAGAUGUGACUUCAUCGACUCCCAUGGGGAAUUUCAGUUCCCCAUAUCACAAGGUUCUCUAUAUACACUGAACCUUUCUUCUAUCUCAUGUCUGUCCUGUGUAUCCGUAUUUAUGGGACCAAGGCAAAAAGGAAAAAGAAAACUUAACAAAACAGAACAUAAGCAUCCGUAUGGAGAUAAGCUGGUUUUAUUGAAGAUUAAGAUUAGCUGGAGACCUCAUCCAACAGCUUGUACCUUCUCACCUUGUUUCUGAACACAUGUUUUGUGAUCCCACUGCCCUCUGAAUUUGUCCUUGUCAGCCUCUCCUCCAUGCAGCCGCUUGCGAUGAUCCUCUUCCGGGUCGUCGGCGAUCUCUCCGGCGACUUUUGUUUCUUGAUGGGUCCGCUGACUGGGAGUUGCAAACUGCCUCUUUGGGCCUUCGCAUGACUGCCGCUGCCAAUCUUCUUUUUCUUAAUCCUGCCGUCGUUUUCUUCGUUGUUUUUGUUUGAUGAUGAGGAAUUGGAUGAGUUCUGGGUUUUUUCUGGUGUGUCGUCCUUCUGAUUCAGACACCAAUUGCAGACUCGGUAGGAGUCGGCCUUUGGAUAAAGAUUGCUGCAAUAUCUGCGGAAUCGGAUGAUCCAGAAGAAGAAGCAAAAGAAAAGUUGAAUUAAUUAACAGCACACAAACAACAAAAUAGAGGGAGAAUGAAGGAUUUGGUGGAUUGAUCCGUAAUCCAUUCAUUCGUUUCAGUGAAACCCAUGAAGGAAAGAUGAAUGAAUACCUGUGCUGAGAUCUGAAUUGGCAGACCUUGCACUGAAAAAGCUCAUAAGAAAAGCCAUAAUCUCCGCACAUGCAACACUCAGGGCUAGGCUGUGAUGGGGCUCCGCCUACUGUGCCCGCCUUGCUCGUUGUCAUCCUUUAUUUUCUUUUCAAUUUUUCAUGGAAACAAGGAGAGAAGAGGAGGGCCGUCCGCCACACAGGGAAAAUCUCAACACUUAUGUUACGGUGGUUUAAUGUAUUUUUCUGUCGCGUGUGAAAGGAUAUCUUAUAAUUUCGUGAUUGUUGCUCAAUGCUUACCCAAAAAAAUAAUAAAAACCUUUAAUAAUUGUGGUGGGGGUGCUGACAACAACUUUCCUUUUUCACCAAAUUCCUUGUGGAAAUAGCAAAUAGAAAUAGGCUUUAUUUGGAGAUUGCCUCUCGCACCUCAUCACACGGAACGUGUCAAAGAUCACAAGCAACAGUGCCCCAUUUCUUUUGCCUCAUGGUAUUCAGGUAAAAUUGUGAUACUUGAUAAGGUUAAUUUUCGGUUGCCAUUCUUCUUCGAAUGUUUUAAUUAAAUACAAUUGAUUCUCAAUAAUUUCAAAAUUUUUGGAAUAUCUUUCUUAUUUUGAAUUAAAAAAAUAAAUAAAUAAGAAAAAAAAGAUAUUUAAUAACAUUUCAAAUUAACAAAGGUGGGAUGGAUUUCAUCACAAUCUCAUAAAAGGUCAAUAAAAUUUACCUUAUCUAUUAAUUAUAUAAAAAAAUUUACAAUAAUCUUUCACCGUUACCAUAUGAUUUUUAAUAUAAAUUGAUUAUCAAAUUUGAUAUUUGAUAUAGGUCAAAAAAAAAAAAAAAUUAAAGGGAAAGUCCAUUUCUUUCUCCAAUUUUCUCAUUUUAUUGCCUAAAUUUUUUUCCCACAUAUAUUCUUCUCUGGGAUCUUUUUUUUUUCCCUAUUCGUAUUCAAUUUGAAUUUGAUUUUUAUUAAAGUCCAAGAAAACACAUUCCACAACAAUUUUGAAAAUUCAAAGAAUAAAGAUAUACGAAGUGAAAUUAAAAUUAUAAACUAAUAGAAUAUACAAAGUCAUGCUAGAAAAAUUAAAAUAAAAUCUAAAACUAAGCUAUUUUAAUAUUUAAUAUUUUAUCUUUAUAUAUUUUUGUAUUAUUAUUUCUUAAAAGCAAAAAAGUUGUCAUUGAUCAAUGACUUAUAAUUAUAUUACUAUAAAUAAUUUAACCCAUUAAUAAAAUACUUUAUUUGUUUAAAACUUUUUACACUAUUAAAAGUAGUGAAUCAAUCCAUUAUACUAUAAAUGAUUUUAUAUCUAAAUUUUACUCAAAAUUACAAAAAUAUGUAAUUAUGAAAAUUGCAGCUAAAUACAAAAAAUGUGAUCAAAGUAUAAACUUGAAAGAUUAUGUAUAAAUAAAUAAAACAUGUUACAUAAUAUUUGUAUAUUUAUAUAAAAUAAAUAAUGCAGAGCCUAUUAAAUUUUGGUAAGAGUGAGAUAGAAUAUAUUUAAUUAAAACAAGUGCAAUUACACGCAUCUAAGUUAGAAAUUUUAUAAAAAUCUCAUCGUAAAUUACGCAUACAAGCCAUGUUUUUAUAUCAUGACAAAUGUAUGAACUCUGACUUUUAAGAGAACUCACAAAAUCAAACGUUUAGUAGAGCCUAUUGCCCGCAGUCUACUCCUAAUUUUGUUAUCCUCCAAGGAAUUUAGGGAGUUGGGUAUCGUUCUCAAACCUUCAAAGUGUUUAAAGCUACUUUGAGUAGCUUUGACAACUUUGAGGUGAUUAGAACAGAAUGUAGAAGGCUGGAAACAAUUUAUUUAAAUGCUUGGAGAUGUAUAGAGCAACUUUGAGGUGCUUGUACUCAUUUGCGGGUUCACUGGUUCUUUUGAGCUUUCUUUUUUGUUAAGUUCUGAGUUAUUUAUUUGGUGUUGCCCUGGGCAACGUGUGGAAUAAAGAAUAAUGGGGUAAAUGACACGGCUGGCCCACACGCUCCUUCACAAUUUUAUUAUUAAAAUAAAAAGGGGGCCGGGGGCCAAUUCUCACGGUGUGAUGCACGUUCAUCUCCAGUCUCUACAUGUUUCAACGUUGGAUGGACGUCGAAAGAGAUGUGCAGAGUCAGCCAAGAUCCCAUACCAUCGUCAGAAACCACGACCUCAAUAACGCGUUAUUCCCACGGGUAGGGUUAGUUAAAAACUUAAUGAUUUAAUAACUUAAAAGGCACCAAUGGGAAAUCCUUAGACUCCAAUCAACCUUAACGUAAGGCUUUCUCACAACCCCAGUACAAAUCGAACCUCCCACUUCCAAGUAGCUUUGGUGAUCCAAUCUACCGGAAAAUAUUAUAAGCUUCGCGUGUCAUCGUGUCAUAUGAGAAAAAUAUUAUAAGCUUCGCCGGCCGACAAACUUAAUUGAGUGCCCAAAACAAAUGGAUUUCUUUCUCAAAAUCCAUGGAAUAUUUGACUACUAGCUUUGGUCAAACUUACAUGCCGACCAUCCACUCUGAUAUGCUCAGCAUCUCUCCAGAUCAAUCCAUAUGAUUUAAUACAUGCAUAUGUCAAUCAUGUCCGCAAGCCCAAAUAUUCAUUACGCGAGCGUGCAUCCACACGCUCCACCUUACAUACCAUCACAUAUAAUCAGUGUAUUGAAAUUUGAAUCUCAUAUGGGAUUCAGAAACUCGUUCAUAUAUACACGCGGCGCAAAAGUAGUUCAUUUUAUUCCAGACCCAAAUGAGCUGCUGAAUUGAAUUCCUCUUUCUGCACUUUAAGCGGGCCUCCGAGGCAAUGAUUACAGAAAUAAUAUUACCUUCACAACCGAGCUUCUACCUUUUUUAAAGAAUAAAAAGGAUUCUCAACUCGCAGGUUCAAUGAGGAACUUUUCCAAUUAGCCAUUCACAGACUGUUGUAGACCGUUGUACCCUUUACCUGCCUCUUAACAAAAUAAUUUUGGCUUUUAUCUGGAUAGGAUUACUCGGACAAUCUGAUGAAACCUGAUCCCAUGUUAUUUCUCAAUAGACUCGAUAAGCAAAAUACCUGCACCGGAAAGAUAUUAACAUUUUCAUAUCACUGAGGAGAACCCUCAACUGUACAGGAAUGUUUGGGCAAGCAUAUUAACAAAUGGAAUGUUCAAAAGCAAGAAAAAAUGAAUUAACAAAAUAGACCUUAUCAUAAGCAACGCAAGAAAAAGCAGGCACUGGCCAAACAAUACAACCAUGCUUUGUUCAACUCUCAAACUUAUUCUUGGGAACCUCCCAACACAUUUACACAGCCUAGCUUAACUACUACCACCACCACCACCCCAUGAGUCUGAUUCCCACCAUCUCCUCUCCUGACAUUUGGCACCAGCACAAAAAAGCUCCCACCAGUCCUUUGAUAAUUCCCAGACGUCUGCAUGAUUCAAAUAGAAAUAAGUCAAGACGACCAAGCAUGAAUUUCUUGGUGAGAACAGAGAAAUCUAAAAAAUCAUUCACUACAUGCUGCUAGCUGUUUGGGUUAGUGAUCAUAUGCUUCAGUCUCUGCCAUGACUUAACCUCACGCCUCUUAACAUUUAGAUAUUAAUGGCACUGCAGCUAAACUAUAACUAACUUGUGGAAAGUAUAGAAUCAUAGCAUAACUUAGCCCCAGGAGAUGGUCUCCUUUGAAGGAUGCAAGAAAAUUGGUAAAUUUCCAGAGAUUCAUUAAAAAGUACAUAGCAAAAGAAGCCACACAAGAACAAAGUGUGAAUUACCAGCAAAGUCAUAUAGGAACAAGCUUAGCUCUGAGAGCACUCAAAUGGAUGCAAGGUUCCUUCACCGAAAUCAUGCAUUCGGAAACGCUCCAGAAGCUCAAAGGGCCUGCAAUAUAUAUAUAUAUAUAUUAAUACAUCAUUAACUUACAGACUACAAAACUAAAAGAGAGUAUGAUUUGAACUAGAAAGUAUGACCUUGGUCCUGAGUUAUGUUACAUGGUCUCAACAAUGUACAUGUUGGUAUCUGUGUAUAUGAGAAUGAGACUGGGAAAGUCUUAUUUAUGUUAGCCAAAACCAUGAGCUUGUCAGAGUGUGUCUCCAUGAAAGAGAGACUGGCAUUUAACAUCAGCUAUCUCCACAUUUGGAAGUCUCAUUUUUUUUUUUUGCAGUUGAUCAAGAGAGUAUAUAACUAAGACUACAGGCAUAUAUGGUUCAAUUAGUUCGGAUUUGAGCAUUAAAAUCAAACAGAAAUGAUCAAAUUGGUUUUCAUGCAUUAAAAACCAAACUAAUUAAACUUAAAGAGGAAACCAAUCAGUUUGGUUCAAUUCAAUAACAAUAACUAGCCUACAUCAAUUUACUUUGUUUUGGUUUAACAACAAAAUUGAUUUUUUUUUUUUUCCUGUGAACUUAGACCAAAACCAAAAAAGCUUAUAACAGGGCAUUGUAGGUUUAAAAAUUUAAAUAAUAUUACUAUAACAAGUUGCCUUCGGGCCUGUUCAACUCACAUCAUUGCCACGCAUUUCAAAUCAUAUUAUCAUAAUAACCCAAAUGACAUGAAUAACUAUUAUUAUUGCUCAGGCUAGCCAUACUAAGUAGUCCAAUCAUAGAAAAAAAGAAAAGAACAAAAAAAAAAACCUAUGUAGGUGUGAUUUAGGGUCCCACCAACUGUGCAAGAUGUCCACCAAAUUAAUAAUGUAACCAUUAGUAGUUGUAUAUUUAUAAUGGUGUACAUGUAACUUUUGGUUCAGUUCAGUCUAUUAUUGGUUUUUAAAAUAGGAAACCACAACCUAACCAAUGUAAUUCAGUUUUAUAUUUAGUGAAACCGAAACCAUUAACUUUAAGUGUUUAAAAUUUGAUCAGUUCAAGUCAGUUUGGUUCGGUUCGGUUGGUUAUAUCGGUUCAAUUGGUUUUCCACUCUGGCCUCAGAGAUGAUGAUAGCACUGCACAAAGUAAAGUAACUAUAAGAUCUCAAGUGUUCAAAACUUUUGGUGAUUUACUGCAUCUACAUCCACCAGGUACAAUGAUUAUGUCAUCCUCUAAAUGAAAGUGUGUUCCUUAAUAUAUAGGUUCUGAGCAGUCUCAACCAAAAUCUCCCUCUUAGAAAUAAUCAGCUUGCUAUAAUAAAUCAUGCCACAUAAUAUCAGAUGUCAGCAAUAACUCAAGACAUCCACUAGCUGGGAAAAUCCCUAGCUCCUACACUACUAAUGCUGCUGCUAUCAUUAUUAUUUUGAAAAUUUUCAAAGCCUCUAGUCCCCCUUCUUUUCAUCUGCUACCACUAUUACUAUCAUCUUGAUAACGGAGAAACCUACUACUACUAACAUUAUUAUUUUGAUGACUGAGAAAUCCAAUAACUUGCUUCAGGGAACAUUAUCAAACUGCAAUUAUCAUCACUAGUUUCAGUAGUCCUCCCUCCCUCUUAUUAUUAUCAUCAUUAUUAGUAUUUUCACAAGUCUGCUACUACUAUUAUCAUCAUCUAAUCAUUAUCAUUACUAAUCAAGAGAAUUGGUUUUCCUCAAAGGCUUGCCUGAAUCAAAGUAUAAUAACAAUAUCAUUGUACAAUAACAAUUCAUUGGUCUUACAGGAUCGCAUCACGGUUUCGGCAUAAUUUCCGUUGAUUGUUCUCCAUAGCUUCCAACACAUCUGCUGUCUCUGGUCCUGCAGCUCCCCCAGCUACAAUGGAUGGGAUAGGAGCACUUGGAGUCCAUAUCUAGAACCAUGCAUUUUUCAGAAGUCAACUCUUUAACCUGACUCGUACAUUCAAAUAAGUUAUUUUCAUCACUCACCUUUAUUGUGUUAUCAAUCCCACUGGUGGCUACAGUACAAUCAAAUGGAUGACACUGCACACAGUUCACGACUGCACAUGAAGAAGAAGAAGAAUAGAUAUUAGAUAACAAAGAGAAGGUUAUGGGAUAUCCUACAUUAAUAUUCCGCUAAAGAUGAACAAAUGUUACCAUGUUCAUCUCCCAUAAGCAUUUUUAUUAGUCUACCAGUUCUCUUGUCCCAGAUAAACCAUCUUCCAUCAUCACUUCCACUGGCAACAUAUUCACCUGCAUAUCAAAAGACUUGUUAGUGAAAAAGGAUCUGUUAUUAAAGAAUACUGUUUGCAGACUAGCCCAUUCCAGUAAAACCUUAAGCAGGAAAUCAUGGUAUAGCAGUAAGAAACCAAUAACUGUGGGCAUGCAUGAAGUCGUCAAAAUGCCAAAUCUAAAUGCAGAUACACUUAAGGAAUGCCACAUCCACUCAAAAACUUCAAAAUUUUGGCAACCAUAGCAUCAUAUUGUUCACUUCUUCAGUAUGCUCUAGUGUUUGUCUAUUAUGCUACUUAGGAUGCAAAUGAUUACUCAACCAUAGUGAGUAACACAAGUGACUAGGAAAUGAGACCCCCUUAGUCAAUCUGUAUGCAUAUUAGCCAGCCAUAUUAUUGGUCUACCUUAUUGAUUACCCCAGUCUGGUAGCGUGCUGGGGGGAAAUGUAAAGCCAUAAAACCAUACAGAACAACUUCAAUUGAAAUUUCUUGAUUUCAUUGCUUUCAUACUUUUUUGUCCUUUCCAAAGUUAAAAUUACUAGAUUUUCAGACCUAACAAUUACAGAAUUGCUUAGUGGCUAGGAAACUUCACAAUUUCAGAUUUAUUAGUUUGGAUUGCAGAUUUGUAAGACAUUUAAAUGUCAGUACCCCAAAGGUGAAGAUAAUCCCACUACAAACCUCCCACCAAACUCCUCAUCCAGACCAAAACAUAGAGGAGGAAACAUUGGGUAAAGGGAAUUUUUUUUAGACCCAUAAACAAUGAAACUUUAGAAUACCAGAUUCAGAUGAGUAUUUCGACUUGAACUCAGUUUAAUCCUCAAUCAUAUUUUUUACCACAAUACCUCUCCUUAUUUUCUCUCUCAAAGGAGGUUUGAUUAAUAGAAUUUUACUCAUAAGGAAAAUAGGCGCUUCUUUGAUCUUUACUCUUCAUCACAUGAUGCGAGCCCACAAUAUAAUAUCUAACUCAUUGCACCCACAAGAACUCGUCAUGGAACUUUUUCAAUAUAUUAGCCAUACAAAUUAGCUAAAGGUGUGAUUAGAAAAAUUUAUUUCUUUCAUUCUUUUCCGGUUGAUUAAAUUGACAAUGUAAAAGCAACUAGAUUUAGAAACAAGUUAAGCACUCAUAAUUGGCUCCUGAUACACAUAACUAAUGGUAGAAAUCAGUUAUGAAAAAACAAUGACAAUUACAUUGAUAUAUAAGCAAUCACAAGUAAUUUAUUGUUGUAAGGGAUUCUAAUCAGUAGAUCGCUUGCUUAUCCAGUUCAUGUGAUUUACCCGGUCGAAGUUCCUCCUAAGGUUUGCCAUUUUCUGGGUUAGCAUACUAUAAUUGAUAUCCUUCUUUCCAUCUGUUCAAUCCUGGAGAACAAAAGCAAUACUGGGAAGAAACAUUUUUCUGUUAUUUAAUGGAGAAGAACAAUUUUUGUUAUUAAGUGGGAGUGCAUGGGACAGAGGAAUUCUCAGCAAUGAGGCAUUUGUUGCUAGUAGAUAGACAUAAUCUCUGUUUUUGCUUCCGGUGUUGAUGAUUCCUUUCUUGUAUAAAGAUUGUGAUAUAUAUGGAUUUCAAGUGAUUCAAAGCAUCAAAACAAUUUUUUUUUUCUUUUUCUGAUAAGCAACCAGAAUAGAUAUAUAUAACAACUAAAAGGGUGGUACAAAGCAGAAUAGCUAAAACUCGCCAAAGUACACCAGGAGCAUUCAAAGGGGGCCAAGUGAAAAAAGCGAGGGGAGAGGACAAAAAAGGGGAAAAAAACACCUGCCCGACAAUUACUUAGCACCUAACCAAUCGACAAAAUCCAUCAAAGAUAUGGACUUUCCUUCUAAAUGAGGCAUAACAUAAUCCAUAAAGAAAGCAGAAAAGUUGAUUUUAGCAAAUGAUUCGAAAGAUCCGCAUCUUCAAAAGCCCUCCGAUUUCUUUCAGGCUAAAUGGUCCAAAAAAGACAUGAAGGGGCAGCUAACCAAGCUUCUUCUGCCUUUUUCCUAGCUGAGCCUGCCCCAUUCCAGCUUAGCAACAUCAUCCUGACUCAAGAGUGCAUCACCCAUUGUAACCCAACUAAGGAAAAAACCAACUGCUAGAGAAGAGCAACAAUAACACAAUGCAGAAGCAAGUGAUCAAUGGGUUUCUCCUCCCUCUAAAGUUAAGAUCCUCUCCCAAGUAGCUUCCCAAGUAAAAACAACCCACCCUCAAUGGGACCCACAAGUUUCAAACAACUUUGGUUGGGAAGGCCUCUACACCCCCCAAAGUCCAAAAAAGAGUAGAAAGCUUUAACAGAGAACUUUCUAUUCCUUGUAACUGAUCAAAUCAUUUUAUCCUCAACAUUAUACUUAACUGAAUGUUUUUGGGUUUCCAAAGAGAGGCCUCCACCAUCUCUACCUCCCAAUCAUGGAACUGUCUAGAGAAACUAGGAUGCCAACGACACAGGUCCCCAUCCUGCUCCCACAUAUCAACUACCAACGCAUCCUUGGAAUUGGCAAUAGCAAAUAAGGUGGGGAAAGGCACUUUUAGCAAUGUGUCACCACACCACUUGUAACCAAAACUUGAUUCUCCUCCCAUUCUCAACAAGGAAGCAGACUCUGCUUUUAAAAGCCUCCCAAUUUUUCCUGCUAGCCUUUCAAAAGCUGACUCCAUACCCCUCCCUGGACACCCCUGAACUCCAACCCUCUCCUUCCUCCCCAAACUUCCCAACAAUCACCCGCUUCCACAAAGAUUCCCUUUCGAAGGCAAACCUCCAUCUCCAAUUAGCUAAAAGCAUCAUGUUAAGGAUAGAAAGAUUCCUAAUGCCCAUGCCCCCUUUUUUCUUAUCCAAGCACACUUUAGCCCAACUCACUAGGUGAGGUUUUUUCUCUAGAGAUCCUCCACCCAACAAGAAAUCUCUUUGUACCUUUGCGAGCCUUAAACUUACCCUACUUGGAAUCACUAACAAAGGCAUGCCAUAGAUAGGGAUGCUAGAGAAGGUGCUUUUAACGAGAGUGAGCCUCCCCCCUUUUGUUCUGCCAGACUAACAGUCUCAACCUUAGUGACCAGAAUCCUAUGCUCAUAUGCCAAUUGGAUCUGAAGUUGUACAAUCAAAAUUGAUACAAAAUAUAAUACCGUGGUUUGAGAUGUUUCAAGCAAAGACCUCUCAUCCAAGACAAGAAGACAUAACAGAUGCUGCAGAGACGACUGCGGCUAAUUUCAAAACAACAACUCCAAUUCAUAGUAGAGGAGAGGUGUCCAUGGUCAGAUAUAUUGUCAUAACACAAGGCUUUCUGAUCCAAUAUCAAGCUUGAAAAUAAAUAUUAAUCAUGGGAUUUGAUGUCAAUAGUCAGAAUUGAAAAAGGUAAGAUAGUUCAAUCUGUUAAAAGGACAAAUAAUUAGCAUAUAAAGAUGUUUGAAGCUUCUAGCAAGGCUUGGAUUGGAGAUGGCUUAUCCCGGUUUCCUCUUGACUGGGUUUUGGAAGGCAUCAUUGGCUGCAUGCAAAGGAAAGCUCAAGCCCACACUGUGUCCAGUCGCAGUCAUAGACUCCUGUAACUUUGAACAAUAGGAUUAAUUUGUGCAAGGAAAGGUAGCAAUCAAGCAAUGCAGGAAAAACAGGCUGUUUCUAGGGACAAUUAUAAGUUUUCAGCUUGAGGACUUUUAGUUUGGUAAUUAAUGUGAACAGGUUCACUGCACUUUUUGUGUAAUAAUAUUAUGCUAUUUAUAGAUUAAAAAUGUAGAUUAAAACAGGAGACCCUAGAAGAAUGAAGGUAUAUGAAAACCCCAGCCACCAAGAGCAUGAUACAGAGGGAACAACAAUUACAGAGGAGGAGAAAGAAGCAGACAGGGUCAUGGGUCCCUAUAACUAGAGAAUCCUUCUUGCCACCACCAGAUUGGUUAUACUUGAAAUAGCAUGACAGGUACCCACAAAAGCACCUGGGAUGCCACCCCACCUUAUAGCCCACACCACCAAAAUUAAACCAUAGAUAAAAUGUAUAUGUGUAAGAUUCUCCUUGACAGCACAGAGGAAAUAAAAAACAGCCAAUUUUGAAAUAAAUUAUUGUCAGCCUCUUUUGGACUCCUCAAGCACAUUCCUGCUUUUGCUCAUUGGCCAAUGGGGCAUUAGUAGUCAUUUCAGCUGUUAUUUCCCCUCCUGAGGGAAGGUUCUUAUGUUUUACUCACCUGUCCACCAAUUUUCCAUAGAAUUGAAUGAAAAGGUGCUGACUUGGCCUAUUUCUUGCAUGUACCAAUUGAAACACUUCUCAUUUACAAAAACACCUUUAGAGAAAGGGCCAAUCAAGGGGGCCACCAGGCAGGGGAAAGGGAGGUUUGGACUCUAGAGGAAUUUGGUAUUGCUCAUAUUAUGAAAUAGAUGCUUUUGCUUAAUCGAUUUAAAUAAGAAGCAACAUAAAAUAAACCAAAUUUAAUACCCAAAUGUUCAGUCGAUAACCUGCGGCUAAGUCUUCUUCUGCUUCCCGACACACCUAAAACAAGUGAGGCCUGAGCCUUCAAACCUACCGAGUGUGCAGCACACAACAAUCAUGACAGAUACAACGAUAUUGGAGUACAUAAUACCAACAGCAACAACCAUAACAAAUCUAAGUUGUCGGAAUACAUGGAAUGCCUAUAUGAGCAUCUAAUUGGUCAGAGGCCCCAAGGUUCUUUCAGCUAUAUUGCUUUCUCAUGGCAAUGUAACACCUUGAUGACAGGGAAUCAUUGGCAAAUGGCAAAGUAAAAGUCAUCCAUAGGAGCUCAUCCAACAAAAAGACCAUAACAAAAGGAAAUAGAAAUGUUGAUUUUAAAGCACCUAUGACAUUAAAAGGGAUGCAAGAAAUAUAGAUUUAUGAAACUAGUCAAAUACUGAAAAGUGCUACAAAGUGCAAACUGCAUUUGUUUGGCAUGAUCCUCAUGCUCAGAAAAUAUAGAAGACAAAAGGUCAAUAAAGAAGAUGAAUUAAUUAAUUAAUAAAAGACUAAAGAAAAAAAUGUACCUCUACAGCCAAGAAAACUAGCCUGUUUUAUAUCAGUUCCUAUAUUGCAGUGACCAACAUAUCUCUGUUUCAUGUCAAUCGCUGUCUCAGGCUGCAAUACGAGCAACAGCAGGAAUUUUUUAAUCAGAAACAAACAAUUCAUUUUAUAGAAAUUUAUUAUAUAUAAAAAAAAUGAAUGAGCUAUAUCUCAAAAGAGGACAUCGAUACAAAAAAAAAAAAACACGAAUCGCCAAAUAUUGUAGCAAACAAAAUAAAAGAAUGACUUACAACUUGCCAAUAGUUAAAGAAACAAACAAUUCGUUUUAUAGAAAAUUAUUAAAAAAAGAAAGAGCUAUAUCUCAAAGAAGGACAGUGACACAAAAAACACAAUAAAAGAAAUGAAUUGGCAAAUAUUGUAGCAAACAAAAUACAAGAAUGACUCACAAAUUGCCAAUGGUUAAAAACAUUAUCAAGUUAAGACUUUACAUAUAAUGAACCUUCUAUCUUAUUAAACGUAGAAAGUGGUUUAACAUAACCAUUAUAAAUUGCAAUAACACUCUAUCCAUCUUGUUUCCCAUUUUUCACAAAACUUUGUGCCAGUGCCAAACAGUAUUGCCAAUAUGUACUAGUAUUACUAUGACCAAAAGAAUACCUAAAGUGAGUCUUCAAAUUGUCAAUCAAGUAGAGGGUUUCUAAGCCCUACUUUAUUUCCUUAAGUAUCAUCAAUCCACAUGUAUACACACACAAAAAACAAAACAAAGAAGGACGGGAAUGACCACAAGAAAUCCUUUACUGUAACUAACAAAACCAAGCCAUAGUGACCAAAUCAUAAUGAAACAUCAAGUAUAAUGCCAGUAAGGAAUAUCCAGCAAUCUUUUUUUUUUUUUGGUGUUGCAGGGAGGGGGUGGGGGUGGGGCGGUGGCAUUUCCACAAAAGUCACAACAGAUGGCAGUUAAUAUAUUUAUAUUCUUCUUGCUAAGCACAAUUAUCAAGCGAAAAUCCAAAACUAAAGAAUAAGGAACUCUUUAUUUUGAUAAAUAACUGGAAAUUACAAAUAGUAUCUCUGCUUUUUCUCAAGCCAAAUAGUUGAAAUUAAUAUAGGAAGAGUAAAUGUAAAAAAAUCAAAACCUGGUAAGUUGUUUUAUCAUUUCUUGAUGAUGUAGGAGAUCCACAUGCACCAUUUGUACCACUUGUUUCUCUAGCUGAAUCACAUCUUCGAUGAAUUCUCAAGUUUAAACUUCCAUGAAGAAUGUUAGAUUCAACAUCUCGUCCUUCAUCACCUGAUACCGAUGUUUCAAAGUCCAACUCUAAUUCCUCAUCAUAAUCAGAAUCUUCUCUUUCAGAUCUUGGCCCGUCUUGUGAAGCAUCACUAUUUGCCUCUGAUCUGUAGAGUAUUUCACUCAAUGAUAGAAAUCUUCCAGAUCUAGUUUCAGACCUAGGUACUCCAUCAUUUGACUUGUUACUUUUCUCAGCUUCGGCUACAAUGCAACCAUGCAAUUAGAUGUAGAUAAGAUUAUGGACAUUAGGAGACAUGGUUUAAAUAACAAAUCAUUCAAAAUGGAAAAAAUUAAAAAAAUAAAUAAAUAAAAAACCCAGACAACCAUUUUUAUUGCAUCACAAUUAGCACCUAUAAUCUAUAGAGACGAACACUCUGAAGUGGACACAGGCCAUCAUACACUGAACAUUCACAAAUUUGGAUCGAGAAACACUGAGAUGUAUAUGUGUUGAUAGGGUUAAUCUACUGACAAUAUAAGUUUGUAUAUGCAUAUAAAUAAAUAAAAAAAAUCAAUGAGAGUAAUAAAGAUUAAAUAAUAAGUUUCUUAACAAAAAGGCAUAACAGCAUGUGCAGGCAGCCUCUCCUACCUUAAUGGGCCUGUAAGCGAAUUUGGUCAGUUAAAGUUGGAAACGAACUUUAAAGAAAAGCUCUUGUUCCAAUCUGAAAUACCAUCAUACUUGGAGUAUCUUUCCAACCAAAUAUGGUUUUUUAUGAAGAUAAGUACAUCAUGGAUCCUCCUUCUCCCCAUAGAGGAAUUUUAUGGGGCAUGAGCAUUUUUAAAGAGGGCCUACAUCAUCAAUACGCCUUUUGACACUCUUGGAUUCAUAACAAAGAUAAAGACGGUCUAUCUUGUAACAGACACAAGGCACCUUUGACACUCUUGGACCCAUAUUGCACACUAUUCAUAUCCACCCAGGAUUUCCAAACAUGUUUUUCAUAUAACCUAUAAAGGUUAAACACAUGGUGCAUCCAUCAGAUAUGACUAUUUUGCUUUAAUACAUACAGACCUAACAUCUCACAAGAUGUGAGUGUUAGAGGCACUUCUAUUAUAUCCCUUUUUUUAUUUUUCUUCUCCUCUCUGAAUUAGAAUUUCUGUUUUCAUCUUCUUUUAUCCUUGGGCAUUUCUUUUCUUUAUCCCCAAUGAAAGAGUGGUUACUGACUUCAUCAAACUUAUUUUCUAUAGAGUCCUUUUCAAUUCUUUCCAAGCCCUCAAUUGUAGGCCUUCCUUUCCCCACCAACUUUAUUUGGAAAACUAAAGCCCCAUCUAAUAUUAAGACCUUUUGCAAAAGUCGGUAGCCAAUAAAAAUAAUUUGUUACAGAUGAGGCCUUCUAAAUCUCUCAGCCAUGAUCAUUGUGUUAUGUGCCUAAGGCAUGGGGAAUUAGUUGAUCAUCUUUUUUAUAUUGCCUAGUGACGUUAAGCCUUUGGAAUUAGAUUGCAUCCCUCCUAGAAGCAUGACAUAUAUAUUCAGAAACAAACAAAUGUAUUAAUUGAGAAAAAAACAUGAGAAGCAUGACAUAUAUUUUAUCUCUUUAACAAGAUUAGGGGAUACUCCUAGGGAAAGCGUAUCUCAACAUGUGGCUUGUCAUAACUUGUUAUGAAUAGUUUGGAGGGAGAGGAAAGCAAGAAUAUUUUACAAUAAAUAAAGGGCCAUAGAAUCUAGUUGGGGUUGACACAUUCCAAUCUAUUUGGUGUUGACACAUUUCUAUUCUUUCUCCUAGGCUUCUUCCUCUAACUUUUGAGGGUACUCCUUUGAACAUUCUAUAACUUGAUUGGAACAUGGUUUGUAGGUGAAAAAAGGUAGGUUGUAAGAUGCUUUCAAUAUGGACUCCACCUCCAAUGGGUUUGAUUAAGUUAAACUUUGAUGUGUGUGCUUUGGGCAACCCAAGUCAACUAAAAAUUGAAGGUAUGAUGAAGGAUCACCAUGGUCCAUGUUGAGAGUCUUCUCUA
rnacentral:lncRNA from 1 species